rnacentral:lncRNA from 10 species
UCCGUCGGUAUGUUCCAAUCGUGAUGAAUUUGAGAAACAUUGCAAGAGGGAGCUCAAUCUUGGCCGGGCGCCGUGGCUCACGCCUGUAAUCGCAGCACUUUGGGAGGCCGAGGCAGGCGGAUCACGAGCAAAUGUCUUUGCAGCUUUCCAACAUGCUGCACAUGUCUUCUGCUUCCUGGAAGAAAAAGGACAUGUUCGGAGUUGUCAUGCGCCAGAGGCUUGCCCAGCCUGCUCUAAGGGAAGUCACGGUUUGGUUACCCUCUGCUGGCCAGCUGAUGGCAGCAAAAAUAGGUGAUGAUGAGAACGAGCGAGGAAGAUCCAGAAAUGCACCUUUUUAGAGAGAACCAUGAACACCUUACUGGAAAUGGAAGGAAGGUGCCAGAGACAACACUAAAUGCUGGAAUCUUUUCCUCUCCUGGGUUUCCGCUGCAAAGGGCACUGGAAUUAUUUUUCUUUUGUCAAGCCAAUAAUCUCCCAGGCAUGGUGGUGUGCAUCUGAUCCCGCUACUUGGGAGGCUGAGGCAGGAGGAUUGCUUGAGCACAGGAAUUCUCGACCAGCCUGGGCAACAUGGCGAAACCCCUACGAAACAUUUUUUCAAAAAAUAGGUGCGGUGCGGGUGCGGUGGCUCACGCCUGUAAUCCCAGCACUUUAGGAGGCCGAGGUGGGCAGAUCCUGAGGUCAGGAGAUCCAGACCAUCCUGCCCAACAUGGUGAAACCCCAUCUCUACUAAAAAUACAAAAAGCUAGGUGUGAUUGCGCAUGCCUGCAAUCCCAGCAACUUGGGAGGCUGAGGCAGGAGAAUUGCUUCAACCAGGGAGUUGGAGGUUGCAGUGAGCCGAGAUGGCGCCACUGCACUCCAGCCUGGCGACAGAGCAAGACUCAGUCUCACC